GAGGAUGGUCUUGAGAUGGACCUUGAAGGAGGAUCAAAUUUCUUUCCUCCUUUUCAACGUGCUUUGAAGGGGGCUGAGCGUAGACUCGGAGUAUGUUAACGCACAGCGAGUGGAUGAGAAUUAACGCUGCAAACUCCGAAUAAAGAAGCAGUAAAUUGAAUCCCCUCGGGUGAUGACGGCUAUUGUGAUGGAAUGAGUACAGACUGAAUUAAUGACUUAGUGUCACACAGUCUUAACACACGCCGUUGAGACG